rnacentral:tRNA from 1 species
GGGAAAGCGCCUGUCUAGUAAGCAGGAGAUCACAAGUUCGAGUCUCGUUGGGACCA